CAGCACAGACCCUGGUGGAACUUUUGGAUGAACAGGAACCACAAACUAGAGAGACUUUACCAUCUUAUUUGAAAGAUGCAAAUGAUGUCCUCAGGAAAUUGGACAACCUGCAACUUGAACCAGACAUGAUACUUGCAACUUGUGACGUUGAGGCUUUAUAUACCUCCAUAAAACACAACGAUGGACUACAAGCAAUCUAUUUAGAAAAAGCACAUCUGCCAAUAUAAUCCUGCAUACAACUUCAGGACACCCCAGACAUCUGAUAAGAAACAUACCUACAGGUCU